UACGUAGGGUGCAAGCGUUGUCCGGAAUUAUUGGGCGUAAAGGGUCUCCAGGUGGUCUGGUUAGUCGGGCGUUAAAUUCCGCUGCUUAACGGCGGAGCUGCGUUCGAAACGGCCAAACUCGAGGGAUGGAGAGGGAGUAGGAACUCACGGUGUAGGGGUGAAAUCCGUUGAUAUCGUGGGGAACACCAAAGGCGAAGGCAAACUCCUGGCCAUUUCCUGACACUCAUGAGACGAAAGCGUGGGGAGCGAACAGG
rnacentral:rRNA from 1 species